AUUUUCCAGACUGCCUAAAUGGCGACAGAGCCGGUGUUUCCUCGGCGCACAGGGGCAGCUGUUCCUCCUCCUGCCUGCGGGUGAAAAGCAGCUUCCUGUCGGCUGCAGGAGCCUCGACUCCCCGCCCCUAGCAUCGGGCUCUGCGAGUCCGGACGGCAGCGCCUGCUUGCAAAGCACGACGGACCCAUUCUCACGGUGGACCCGCCAUAUUUACCCGGAGCGCUGCAGCCACUGUGCGUCUGCUCCACUUUCAACACACUUGGCUCUGCUCUGCUGCACUUCAGCCUAAAUUAAAGCCCUUGUUUUUAUUCUCUGAGCUCGUUACACAAGUGGAUCUACAAACCACAUAGCUGAUUGUGCACAAUUGUCAACAUUAAAAACUAAACACACAAUUUAUGUGUUCUAA